rnacentral:rRNA from 1 species
GAAGAAAGAGGGAGGAGGGAUGAACACAUGCAAGUCGAACGGAAAGGCCCUGCUUUUGUGGGGUGCUCGAGUGGCGAACGGGUGAGUAACACGUGAGUAACCUGCCCUUGACUUUGGGAUAACUUCAGGAAACUGGGGCUAAUACCGGAUAGGAGCUCCUGCUGCAUGGUGGGGGUUGGAAAGUUUCGGCGGUUGGGGAUGGACUCGCGGCUUAUCAGCUUGUUGGUGGGGUAGUGGCUUACCAAGGCUUUGACGGGUAGCCGGCCUGAGAGGGUGACCGGCCACAUUGGGACUGAGAUACGGCCCAGACUCCUACGGGAGGCAGCAGUGGGGAAUAUUGCACAAUGGGCGGAAGCCUGAUGCAGCAACGCCGCGUGCGGGAUGACGGCCUUCGGGUUGUAAACCGCUUUCGCCUGUGACGAAGCGUGAGUGACGGUAAUGGGUAAAGAAGCACCGGCUAACUACGUG